rnacentral:tRNA from 1 species
GCGCGCUUAGCUCAGUGGAAGAGCACUUCCUUCACACGGAAGGGGUCGCAGGUUCAAAUCCUGCAGCGCGCACCA